rnacentral:lncRNA from 1 species
AGCCGAAGGCGAAAAAACACCUUCCCUUCUUUUCACGCUUCAUAAAGAAAAACUUCUUCAGCUGAAGGUCUUGUAUUAUCAUAGAGAAUGUUGCCGCUAGAGACGAAGCAUUGUCCCCUUCUUUGCCCUUCUGUCUCCGUUAUAUAAUUUCACAAAAAACAUGUAUGAAGCCAAAACAUUUGAUCUCGUUCGUCCUUUAAUGCGCUACCUUAGAGUUAAUAAAGGGAGCAAUUCCCCUUCUUCUCACUUCAUACUUGAUGCAAGAUAAUACGAUGCAUGAUGGUAUGAUGCGUAAUGGUAUGAUCAUAUGAUGCAUGAUGCUUGGUGCAAGACAGUGAUAAAGAAAAGAGGAAAAAAAAUUGUAACAAGACUCUGUAUUCCUUUGGGAACGACUUUGGAGUCCUCUACACCUUUACUAGGUGUUUUAUUUAAGCUCUGCAUCCCCUUAGGAACAACUUUAGAGCUUCUUCAUCUUUACUAGAUGGUAUUUUAAGCUCUGCAUCCCCUUAGAAACGACUUUAGAGCUUCUUCACCUUUACUAGGUGGUAUUUUGAGCUCUGCAUCCCCUUACGAGCGACUUUGGAGCUUCUUUGGCAUUUUUGUUACACUCGAUAGUGUAACCUUAGAUUUAUUAUAGAGUGUCGAAGGAUAUACCUUCUUUAAGUACGUCACACCCGGAUUUAAGGGAUAAAGUCGGGUGCAUCUCAUAUGUGCGCCAAAGAAGAACAUCAAAUAUAAUGAUAAAGUGUAUAGAGAUAAAUGGCACAAGUAUCAUUAUUACAUAGCGGAAGUCUUACAAAAACAAAUGAUAACAAUAAAGCAAACUAUAUAUUAUUCCUUGGCACCAUCAAGCUGACUGCGAGACGUCACCUAGAUGAGCUCGUACUCCUCAUUAUAUGGCACCUCUUGGACCACAUAUUCUUCUCCUGUGGGGGGGUUUAUAUAUCGCAAGUAUGAGCUCACAAAAGAUCAUAGCUCAACAAGUUGUGGGGAAUAAUGUGCAUGAACUCACCAAAGGUGGGAGUUCAUGUGAAGUGUAAGGCUGAUCAACAAAUAAGGGUUAAAGUUGAGCAAUGCUUUUAAUAAGUUGGUCAAAUUUUAUUAGCAGUUACUAACUGUAAGUAGAUACCAAACCAGAGUAAUGAUAGAUCAAAAUUAAUAAUAAUCCAUAAUGCGAUGCAAAUGACAAAUUGAAUUGAGUUCCAUAAAUUAAUUAUGUGAGAGUCCUGAGUUGCUCAUGACCGCGAGAACGACUAAUAUACUAGUUUUACACUCUGCAGAGGUUGUACCCUGUACCCACAAAUCGUGUAUCCCAUCUAGCCUGGGUUUGCAAGGCCCUUAGACACUGCCGAGGUGAAUGCCUAGGGAUCCACUACAAGGCUGUAAGAAAAAUGGACCCCGGGCCAUUUGGCUUAAUGAGUUUUGGUGUUUGAUGAUUAACACAAUCCGUGAACUAAUGAAUUUCCUAGUGUUUGUGUUUGAAGUUCACAGGAUGCUAGAAUUAAUUGGACCAAGGAAUUGAGGAAAGCAACACCUCAAAAGAAGACAUUAAGAAGAUCCAAGAAAAGUCCAAGAAUGAAGAUGUGUGUUGCCUACGGACUGUCUGUGCAAGGAGCACCGGACUGUCUCGUAGCACACUGGACUGUCCGGUGCCCACACGCCGAACUGUCUACUGCACCAGGAACCUCAGCCCCAACGGCUAGUUCCAGGUGGCACUCGGAGGGAAGACCACCUGACUGUCCGGUGUGAAGUCCAGACUGUUCGGUGUGAAAGCCUGCGGCGCCAACGGUCACCUGCUCUAACAGGGUAACGGUUAGGCGCACCGAACAAGGAACAGUGCGCUGUCUGGUGCACCACCGGAUUGUCUGGUGUGACCGCAGAAAGCAGCAGCUUUCCUCCAACGGCUAGAUUUGUGUUGGGGGCUAUAAAUACACCCCCAACCGGCCAUUUCCAAGUGUGGGAGCCCAAGGGACAUACCAAGGCAUAUAGUAGACAUUCCCAAGUGCUCUUACACCCAAGUGCUUAAUAGAAUCACUCGGUGAUUAGCUUAGGUGCUUUACGAAGUGCAUAGGUUAGUUAGACUGCUCUAGUGCUUGCUCUAGGUGAACCCUAGUUAGUUGAGUGAGGUUUGUAAAACCACACAACCCCUCGGCUCUUGCGUGAGUCAUCAUUAGUGUACCGAGUGGGGCGAGAGUCUUGUGAGACCGUGACAACUGAGUUUGUGUCACGGCCGCCACCGUGUACCGGAGGGAACGAGGCCCUCGGUGUUUCGGCCGAAAGCUCGAUAGUGGAGACGGCGGGAGCAUCCGAGAGGAGCCAGAAGCGGAGCACCACUUGCACGUGGAGAAGGCCCGUGGCUCUCUAUGGAGUUACUCGACCGAGGUGCUUGGCCCUCGCGUGGGCUCCCCUUUGCGUAGGGGCACCAACGAGGAUCAGUCGGGACCUUGCGCGGUUUCGGAUACCUCGAUAAAAAUACCGGCGUCAUCCACGAGAGUUUGCAUCUCUACUUUGCUCUUUAAGUUUCCGCAUUUAUAUUAAGCAUUUAAGUUUCAAUCUUGUAUUCAUACUUAUAUUGUGUAGAUUGAAACUUAGCCAUUGCGGUAGAGAUAGCAACACAUAGACAAAACCUAGUUUGCACAUUCUAGUUUGAUUAUUUACAUAGGUUUUGCUCUAGGGAUUUAUUAGUGGCCUAGUUUAGUAAAAGUUUUAGAAGUCCUAAUUCACCCCCCCCCCUCUUAGGCAUCACUCGUUUCCUACAAGUGGUAUCAGAGCCUGGUUUCGCUCAUUGGAAACUUUUUAGCUUCACCGCUAAAAGAGCCGACGCUUUUUAGACGAAGGGAUGGAUACCCAUAGGCCACCACACUUCGACGCCACUAACUUCCCAUAUUAUAGUGCUAGAAUGGCUUGUUACCUAGAGGCCGUUGAUCUAGGUGUUUGGAGAGCACUCGUGACGGGAUGAAACACCCCAAGAAUCCCGAGAAACCCACCACGAGUGAGGAAAAAGAAAUUCAUUUAAAUGCUCGAGCCAAAAAUUGCUUGUAUGAAUCUCUUAGCAUGGAUAUUUUUAAUCAAGUAUUUACCUUGAAAACUGCUAAUGAGAUUUGGCUAAAAUUGCAUGAGCUCCAUGAUGGCACAUCAAAUGUUUGUGAGCAAAAACAUUGCCUAGUCUUAAAUGAGUAUAAUUCUUUUGCUAUGAGAGAUGAUGAGCUCGUUAGAGACAUGUAUUCUCGUUUAAAUCUAAUCAUCAAUGAGCUCAACUCUAUUGGCAUAAAUAAGCUAGGUGAUGCGAACAUUGUAAGGAAGAUUAUCUCCCUGCUACCACAAUGAAGAUAUGGGAGCAUCAUCACCAUCCUUCACAACAUGGAGGACUUGAGUACCAUGACCCCGACCAUUGUGAUUGGGAAAAUCGCGGCUUUUGAGAUGUCGCAAAAAAUGUGUCGGGGAGAGGAGCCAACUUCCUCAAGGCCAUAUGCUUUUGCAUGUGAUGAAAGGAAGGGUAAAAAGAAGACUCCUACUCCAAGUUCCUCAAGUGAAGAAGAGGAAGAAGAAGAAAGUGAUGAUAAUGAAGAUAAUCAACCGUGCACAUCAUCCUCCGAGGACGAAGAAACAAUCCAACGCAUCGGAAAGGUAAUGGGGAUGAUCCGCAAGAUUAAUCUAAUGGGUGUGCCCCUGCAGGUCGAAGAUCUUCUCUUUAACAUUGACAGGAAAAAGCAAAGAAAGAGAGGGUGUUUUGCAUGCGGGGAGAAGGGCCACUUCAGGGACAACUGUCCAACUAUGGCCGAACCCAAAAAGGAGAGGAGCAAAGGCAAGGCGCUAACAAGUGUCAGAACUUGGGAUGAUUCUUCAAGUGAAGAUGAACCUCCAAGGACGCACAGCCACCGGUCCUCAUCACGCUCAUCACGGUCAUCACACAAAUGCCUUAUGGCAAGAGGUAACAAAAGCAUUUCAUUCUCUAGUGAUGAAAGUAGUAGUGAUGAUGAAGGUGAGGGAAAGCCCUCCGUAGAUGAGCUUGCGGAAGCCAUUAAAUUUUUUUAGGAUGUUUGCACUAAGCAAAAAGCUCAACUUAAAACUUUGAAAAAUAAGUUGAUUAGCUCCCAAAAUGAUUAUAAAGGUUUGAUAGAAAAAUUUGAAACUUUUGCAAACUUAAAUAGUGAGCUGUCAACUAAAAUUGAGCUAUUAGAGUCUAGUGCACCAUCCACUGCUACCGAUGAUGGCCUUAUUAAACUUAAGGCUAAGUUAGCUAGUUCUCAAGAAGCCAUUGAAAAUUUGCUAGGGAAAAUGGAAAUUCUUAGCAUACACAACAAUGAGCUAACUACUAAGCUAGAAAACAUUGGUAGCACCCCAGAAGUAUCUUUGAUUGAAAUACCUGAAAUUUUUAAGAAAGAUGCUUCUACUUCUUGCUUUGAUUUAAGUGAUGAUUCUAACCCCUGCAAUCAAGUUCUUGUUAAGAAUGCUAUUAUAGAAACUUGUUCUAACGAGAUUGCAAAGGAAAAUGAGCAAUUAAAGCAAGAAGUGGCUCAUCUUAGAAAAGCCUUGUAUAAUAAGAAAGGCAAAGCCAAACAAAUCCGACCUCCACAGGAUAACACCACUGCGGGAGUGAACAAGCCUAUGGAGGGUGAAAAUGUGAUUUGUAGGUUAUGCCACAAGGAAGGCCACAAGUCUUUCCAAUGCAAGGCGAUGACCGGGGAUAAGCAAAGGCAAAAGCUCAAGCAAAAUCCAUCAAGCAAAAUCUCCAACACCUACAUCAAAAAGGUGGACAAAAAGACCGCUACACCAUAUAUGAUCAAAAAGAAAAAUAAUGGAAAGGUGAUAGCAAUCAAGGCAAACAAGCAAGCCAACAAAGAAAAGGGGGCGAAACGCAUCUGGGUGCCAACGGAAAUAAUUUCAACCAUGAAAAGCACCAAGAAGGUUUGGAUCCCGAAAGGGAAGUGAGUGCACCGAAGGUCGUCGGGAAAUUUGGAGACUUGGCAAAGUGGGGAUGUAUAUCAUGGGAUACAUCAUAAUGGAUCAAGUUAUUGCCAAGUAAAUUAAUAAAAAGUUUGGACCCAAAAUUCCCACCCAUGACUAAGGUAACUAGAUUUAUUGUAUUUCUUAUUUUUAGAUAUGCGUAUCUAAUUAUUUUUAGUUUACCUUUCAUGCCUAGUAUUACAAUUUGUACUUACUUUUGCUUAAAUGCAUGCAUACUAGGUAAAUCACAUGGUAGGAUUGCUUGCUUUCAAUUCAUACACUUAAGCAAACCUACAUGGUUUAAAAUGUUUAUUUAAGCACGUCACAUAGCUUCUAUAUCACUCCAUAGUAAAUGAUACAUUAAUUGAUAUUUUUAAAUAUUACAAGUGGUAAAACACUCAUAUUCUACAAUUUGUAUCAUUUAAUUUAUAUGUGCCAAAGUUCGGAUUAUAGAUAAAUCGCCCCUCUUGAUAUCAAAUCAAAGUGCAUGUCUCCUACAAGUAUUCAAAACUUGUAUGCACACUUUCAGGGGGAGGUUACUCUACAAUCUAAGACAUUGAGCCUAACACCUCUUUCAAGUCUAUUUCUUGUGAUAGUCUCAUUGUAAGGAAAAUGAAGUCCCCGGAGAAAGACAACAACAAUCUUCCACUGCAAAAUCUCCAAGAACUCUCAUGUCUCACAAGCCUGCCAUUGGUUUUCAAUUGGUCCGCCAUUGACUUUCAAUCGGUAUCUUUUGAGACUAUAUUUAGUAUCAUUUACAUGUCUUCUCCAAUAUUUGAUCAGACUAUAUUUUCAUAUCAUAUACUUCCAUGUUGCUAAAAAAUGCAUAUGUGGUUAACUCAUAUUCUGUUACCUAUGCAUAAGGGAAGUUAGUCUAUUCAAAUUAUGUCUUGCACCUCUAAUUUUCACAUGCUUUUUCCUAAGUAGAAGAUCUCUGUGAGGGGGAGUAUUUCUUCGUCUCUAAAAAGGGGAGAAACUUCUUUCUAAAGAGAACACUCAUUUAGGGGGAGUUAUCAUUUGAUGGUAACCUACAAGUGUUUCAAUUCCUUAUGAGGGCAAGACUUAUUUACUUCCUACAUGAUUUUAAUGUCUUCCUUUUCGGUGGUUGGUGCCAAAGGGGGAGAAGUUUAGGGACCAACGCAAUGAAAAAUGUAUCAAACACCAAACACCACCAAUUUAAAAUUUUAAAAUCUGCAAGUGGCUUUUCAAGUGGUUUUGGUUAUUUGGUCCAAAAUAGGAAGUAAGUGAAUUAUAGAGUUAGGGGGAGGCUUAAGUCCAUAAUAUCACAUUAUGGGGACAAACAUGCAUCCAAGCAAGUAGAUUGCAUAUUUUCAUUCAAAUACUUGUAUUAUUUGCUUGCUUUGGUUGUGUUGUCAUCAAUCACCAAAAAGGGGGAGAUUGUAAGGAAAAUGGACCCCGGGCCAUUUGGCUUAAUGAGUUUUGGUGUUUGAUGAUUAACACAAUCCGUGAACUAAUUAAUUUCCUAGUGUUUGUGUUUGAAGUUCACAGGAUGCUAGAAUUACUUGGACCAAGGAAUUGAAGAAAGCAACACCUCAAAAGAAGACAUUAAGAAGAUCCAAGAAAAGUCCAAGAAUGAAGAUGUGUGUUGCCUGCGGAUUGUCUGUGUGAGGAGCACCGGACUGUCCGAUGCCCACACGCCGAACUGUCUGGUGCACCAGGAACCUCAGCCCCAUCGGCUAGUUCCAGGUGGCACUAGGAGGGAAGACCACCAGACUGUCCGAUAUGACGUCCGGACUGUCCGGUGUGAAAGCCUGCGUCGCCAACAGUCACCUGCUCUGACAGGGUAACGGCUAGGCGCACCGGACAAGGAACAGUGCGCUGUCCGGUGCACCACCGGACUGUCCGGUGUGACCGCAGAAAGCAGUAGCUUUCCUCCAACGGCUAGAUUUGUGUUGGGGGCUAUAAAUACACCCCCAACCGGCCAUUUCCAUGUGUGCGAGCCCAAGAGACAUACCAAGGCAUAUAGUAGACAUUCCCAAGUGCUCUUACAACCAAGUGCUUAAUAGAAUCACUCGGUGAUUAGCUUAGGUGCUUUGCGAAGUGCUUAGGUUGGUUAAACCACACAACCCCUCGGCCGGAAGCUCGAUAGUGGAGACGGCGGGGAGCAUCCUAGAGGAGCCGAAAGCGGAGCACCACUUGCGCGUGGAGAAGGCCCGUGGCUAUCUACGGAGUUACUCGACCGAGGUGCUUGGCCCUCGCGUGGGCUCCCCUUUGCGUAGGGGCACCAACAAGGAUUAGUCGGGACCUUGCGCGGUUCCGGAUACCUCGGUAAAAAUACCGGCGUCAUCCACGAGAGUGUGCAUCUCUACUUUGCUCUUUAAGUUUCUGCAUUUAUAAUAAGCAUUUAAGUUUCAAUCUUGUAUUCAUACUUAUAUUGUGUAGAUUGAAACUUAGCCAUUGCGGUAAAGAUAGCAACACAUAGACAAAACCUAGUUUGCACAUUCUAGUUUGAUUAUUUACAUAGGCUUUGCUCUAAGGAUUUAUUAGUGGCCUAGUUUAGUAAAAGUUUUAGAAGUCCUAAUUCACCCCCUCUUAGGCGUCACCCGUUUCCUACAAAGGCCUUUACAAAGUUCCACUAGCUUCAAAAAACCAGCUACAGUUCUAGGAAGAGCAAUGCAGGAAUCCCUUGUCUGACCACCAUUCUAGCAAAAUCAACCCGAGAACCUCCCUACAUGCCUACUCCCCUACUGCCCUUGCCCCUUUCGGGUAAGGUGGUCCUCCACUAGCUUUCCUAGUUAGUCAGCCAAGGGUAUCCCAUUCCACCCUUGUGGUGACACGUGUUUCUCAAGUUAAGCUCGAUGUUCCAAUUAACAUAAUUGUCUUAUCAUGAACAGAAAUAGAACAGUAAUAAAGAAUGAUCAUGUGUAAUAGUUAUCCCAACACCCAAAACCAUAUAUAGCAGCAGCAAAGACUACCCAAAAGUUUAGAGGUAAACAAGGUGUAAAGAUGACCAAACUAGGGUGACCUAUUGGGUCCCAUCAAAAGUAAGCCUAUGCAUGAUAAAAUGAUUAUAGAGAACAUUAUUGGGAAAAUAAAAGUGGUCAAGGGCACAACUUACCUUCAAUGAGCUCCUGCUCAGCAACUUCUACCUGCUGAACACCUGAAUUCUCGGCCACUGACUCAUCUACUCGCCACAAUACAAACAAACAUGGUACAAGGGGUAAAUUAACAUCACACCAAACAUGAAUACAGAAUACAUAAUAAUAAUCUACGCAUUGUAACGAGAUCGUAGGAACGAGAAUCACUAAAUUCGGAGUUACGGAUUUCAAGUUAUGAUUUUCGAAGAUUUCAUGUGUUUGGUACGGAAAUUAUUAAGUGAUCAAUUUAAAAUGGGUUUCAUGCUAAAACAGUGUUACUAAAGACAAACAAUAUUGAUACUAAAUUAUAGGAACUGGAAUGGGUUAAAAGGAGUUAGAAUGAAUUUUCUAGGAAUUAUACAAAUUUUGGAUUUAUUUUAACAUAAGAAAGGCAUUUUGUACUUUAAUUUCUCUGGUUUCUAAUUUCCUCGGACAGCGUGCAUGAAUAACCGAAAGCUCAAGGGCUACUCCGCAAAAGUCUCUAGACUCAAAACGCCUUGCACUGGACUAUGGGUUAAUUCCCAAAUUCUUUAGGGUCUCUUAUGUAAAAAUCCUCGGCCGAAAGAGUAUUGAGCCAACAGGAUCGUCCGAUCCCGAAUCAAUGGAUCCGAUCAGUCCCAUGUUCGCAUGCGAUGCUGGCCCUUGGAUUUAAGAUUCGUGAUUCCAGCCACAUCCACGCCAUCUUCGAUCAGGACCGCUCAUCCUCCAAUCUACGGUCAGCAUAAGGUCUCGAAGUUAGCUAUUCGCUCGGUUGAUCUGUGUCGCUGAUGCGAGGAUCAACGCCCUGGAGCCUAUCUCCUUCCUAACGCGUCGGCCGUGGUAGGGCAAACGCGAAACGCGGUGGCGCCCCCGUCGGCGCACCGCCGCAGAGCAGUUCUACUCCCUACCACUUCCAUCAGCUAUGGCCGUGCAAUGUGGAUGUCGCAACAAACUAGGUGGCGGCAUCAAAUCGCUGGAGGACAGAUAAACGAGCCAGGUCGUGGUGCCCGAUGCUUCCAUGGUGGUUCCCAAGCCGAUGGACAAUUACCAGCACCCGGACAUCCGAACUAGUACGCCAUGAGAUAAUACACAGAGAAAAGGGUCUAGCAAAGGGAUUAGAAGUUUCUAACCGAGAGGGAUUGGCGUAGGAAUUUCGUCUCCUCCAGGGGCGAUCCCACGGCGCGGGAUGAUGUCUCCGGCGAGCGAUUGCCACCCAAGCACGAUCCGGGUUUCCCCCACCGACGACCUCCACACCGUCUGGGCACCCGCGCGACCCUGCUUGAGCUCCCCGGCUGGCUAUCGGCCCGCAGACGCAAGAUUCUGCCACAAUGAGCUGGUUUCCCCCUCUCACGACGACUGACGGUUCUUGGCAGCGCAGCUUUGGUUCACGUCUGUGGUUGGGGAAGAAGAAAUGUGCGCACGAUUGGCUUGUAUAGCCCACGAAUCCAGACUCCAGGCGAGGCGUGCGACGUGAGGCCGAAAUCCCCGGGUGGAGAGCCAGAGCGCCGCCGCAUAUGGCAGUGUUGGUUGUAACAACCCUGGUGGGAG